rnacentral:lncRNA from 1 species
UUGAAUGAUGGUGCUGUUUUUUUCCGAUAACAAGAUAGAACUUCCCCAUCUAAAUAGCUCAUAUUUAUGCUUGCUAAAAUUAAAAGUAUGUUUAGAUUAUGGGGUACCAAAACGUAACAUUAUUCUUAUAAACAUCUGUGAACACUAAAUACAUGUGAAAAAUUAUAAAGUAUUAAGCCAGAAAGCAUUCUAACAUAAUGAUUAAGACCUAAACUAGGGUUCCGCCCUUCACAUACUCGGUGAAGGCCAAGGCUACGAGACCCAACAUGGCCAACCUUCCAUUUAUGAGCUCAGCAUCUGGGGUCAUGAUCCCAUCCGAUUCUGAUUCCACGCUGAGUCCUUUAAAUAGAGGAAUCAAUGAUGCCACUGUUAGCAAAAUACUAGUUCCAAGGAACAAUGAGACUCCACCAUUGGAUAUCUGAGCGAACACAUCCUGCCCCUUGUAUAGUUCCGUUGCUAUAGCUGAAACAAACCCAACCAUUGCAAGUCUGCCGUUGAUCCUCUCCGGCACUGGCCCACUGAAUGCAAACAAGUCUGAAAACUUUGUCCUAGCCUGCUAUGAGAUAUGUGUCACAUAUUAUCCAUGUGUGAAUGCCACAAUAACAACAUAUUGCUAUGGAACUCCUUUCCAGUACAUAUAUACAUUGGGGUAGCUAAAUUUAAUCUUUGGAUAAAUAUUCGUGUACUGCUCUCGAAUAAAUUGGUUGGACUUAUAUCAAUACCGACAUACAAGCUUGUAGUUCCUUUGACAAAGUCCAAUUAUCUUGAUUUUGAAGUUUUAAACGUACAAAUGCAUAAUUAGCAUGAGUAAGGUAAUAUUCAUUAAACUUUUAAUGGUUAAGACAAUACAACAAAUAAAUAACGGAUCAAUUCAAGUAACACUAGACACUUAAACAAAACAAUACCUUGCCGGGAGAAGGUGUAGGAGGUGGUGGUGGUGGAUAUUUUGAUGCAUUUGUAACUGUAGAUGGUUGUUUCUUCUGACCAUCCUACAAAUGAAAAAUAAAUCAGAUAUAGAGCGUAAUUAGUAUCAUUAUUUUAUAAAUAUAUGUACUUAAGAUGCACAUAUAUAAGCCAAAUAACGAAGAAGACAGAAGAAUAGAAUAAUUACCUUGGCCAUUGAGCAUAUCCUUAUUGGAGGGUAGCUGUGCACAGUUGGUGCAACAAGGUGGUUCACUCUAACUGAUUUAUUCUUUCCCGCUCCAUAAGCCAAGGAAUUAGGUAGGAAUGUUGAAUGCAUGAAAGUUGCUGAUACAGCCAUUGUAUAUAUAUGUAUUUUGGUUCUUGGUUAAACACUAACAAAAAGAUCAAACUCUAAGCUUUUGGAGACGUAAUUUGUUAUUACUUCUUGAUAUCAAAGUUUGAGCACCUUAGUUGCCUUUUAUAAGGUAAUGGUACCCUAGUGGGGGGAACUCUUUAAGCGGUGUAUAGUUUGGCACCUCAUCACCUUUUUACUUUCCCAAUGACACUUGACCACGUCUGUUAUAAAAAAAAAAAAAAAAAAAAAAAAAAAAACUUACUCGAAACACACAUUGUGUAGCUGUAAUUAUAUGACUAGAGAAGAGAAUAAAAAGAAGCAUACUUCUCUUGAAGGAAUGAGAGGCCGACGUACAUGCAUGGCUGCAGAACAUACAACAUUACUAUCUAGCCAGUAGUGACCAUCACGGGGUCACAUUAAUUUGUCGGGUCUUCAAAUUUUUAUGAUCUUUUGAGCAAGGGAACGGUGUCUCACGGGACCACGACUCCUUUCAGCUAAGGGACACUGUACAGAAAUAGCAGACACAAUUGCACUAGAGAACGGAUCUUUAUGCUACAUUUAGUUUCGUCCGCAAGAAAAUGUUAGUUGAGCACUUGGUGGCCCACUCUCUCGGUCACUUUUGCAUAACUGCACUUGAUUGAUAGCUAGGACAGCUUUGUGCGUUUGGUCUUGUCCAUAUAUACCAGGAGCAUGGUACGUAUAAGAGACGUGGCUCCCCGCACACACUAUAACCUCGCACACAGGGUUGGUUAAUUUGUAGUUUGUGUUGUAAAAUCGACGGUUGAUGCAGUGGAAUAAAUAAAUAAAACACAAAAUUUACAAUGUUCCUUUACAGUCAAUGUGAUUGGAGUACGUUAUCGGGAUAAUAGUGGUUCUUUCAUUAUAAUUAAGAAUAAUAAGAGUACAAAGAUAAUUCUCUAAAAAGAACAACCGAUUAAAAGGCAGUGAAUCUUUUUUUUUUAUGUUACAAAAGACAGCGAAUCUUUUUUUUAUGUGAUCUGAGGGACGUGGCUCCCCAAACACACCACAAUGAACAAGUCGAAGAAUUAAUUCUGCUCCCUUUAAUUUUUUAAGGUUUUUACUUUUCUAGUAUUUUCAGCGUAGUGUAGCUAUAUGCACAAGUACACAAUUAAUAUGAAUUAGCACCAAGUUUAAUUCUAUAUUGCAGUAGGCGUGUAUGCGUUUUUGAACUAUUUACCGCUUUAUACGACGACUAGCUAGUUUUUAACUUUUGGGUCCUAGUACAUGUGUUAACAUAUAUGAACUUGAAGCAUAAAGCAUUUGAUAAGGGGAUGUUACCAACCUUCACCUUAUAAGUUCUUUAUAAUUUUAAAAUUUCUGCAUUGUUAUUUAAUAAUAAAAAAAAAUAUUUUCACGGCCAUUGUUAAUCCAACAGUAUCCUCCGGAUCCUUUUUGUGAGGACCCUGGGGUCCGUUAAUCGUGUCAGUUCAUUAUACAUUGUGUGGUCAGUUUUCGUCAGGUACUGUUUGUGUUCAAUUUUAAAUAAAAAAAUUAAAAUGAUUUCUGAAUGCACGAUGUACGAUGAACGAAAACUAUUCAUGAAUCCCCAAGAUUCUCACAAAGAGGAUCCGGAUUCAUCAUUAAUGAUGUGCUAUGUCAGAAAUAUAUAAAAAUAGAAAUCAUCUAACCAUUUAAUUAGCAAUAUCAUAAUUUCAUUGUUUAACUAACGAACGUGGAUUUAGUUAAUUUUUGUAAAAAUAUCUUUAAAGAGUGAUCUUGAAAAUAGAUGAUUCGGAUCAUCAUGAAACAUUAGAGGAUAAGAAAUGAAAAAGGAGAAAAUCUAUAAAAAAAAAUGCUAGCAUUUCUUUUUGACUAAUAUUAGGUAGACCAAAUUUUCAAACCAUAUGAUGUGUCAACAAUAGAAAAUAAGCACGUUAAUCAACAUUUAAGUAAUAAUUAAUUCAUCAAUAACCACGUAAUAUAAUUUACAAAAUACAAUUUAAAUGGAUGAUUUCCCUAGCAGUACUGAACUUUUGAUUUCCCCGCUAAACUUUUUAAUUCAAAAACUAAGUACUCAAACUAAUUUUUUUUGCCGAUUACACCCCUACUAUUAGUUUUUCAUUCAUUUCAUCCAAAUUUCUGUUAAAUAAAAGCAUGUACACAACAUGUGAGGGUACUUCGGUCUCUUCAUUCUUUAAAGUAAUUGAAAACCCUAGAUUUCUAAAAUGUCAACAUGUGCAAAUAUGUGUGAUUCUAUAACUUCUGUGUCUGAAGGUCUAGUGAAGUGACGCUUUUGUCCUCAAAGGAGUGUCACAUGGUGUGCAUGUGAUAAGAGUUAACGUUAAUUUGGAUGGAAUCUAUGAAAAACUAACAGUAUGGGGAAAUCGGCCAAAAAAAUUAGUUUAAGUCCUUAAUUUUCCAAUUAAAAAGUUUAGGAGGGAAAUCGAAAGCUAAGCGAAAAGUUCAAGGGGAAAUUAGCAGUAAACUCUUUUUUCUUUUAUUUUAUUUUAUAAAUAAGUGAAAAUGAGAAUUGCUAAAUUCUUUAAUCUAGAUCAUUUAUAAUAAGGGUAACGCUAAGAAGACUUAAUUUAUAAACUAUAUAUGUAAAUUAAAUUAUGUGUCAGCAUUAAAAAAAUAAGUAUGAUAAUUAACACUUAAUAAUAAUUCAAUCAUUAACAACUAACAUCAUUUAAUUUACAAAAUUUAAUAUCCUUAACAUUAUCCUUAUGAUAAUAAUAAUUGAUUCCGAGUACAUAGUAAUAGAGGUCCUCGAAAAUCAGAAUUCCCAAAAACCCUAAUCCAAGUCCAUAAGUUUGGUGCACAAGUACAAGUACCACUAGAAGUAGAAGUCCUAAAAAAUUGAAAUUCCCAGAAACCCUAAUCAAACUACAAUAUAUAAUGUUUCCCCCUACCCUACAUAAUUAAUUAACAGGUCUCUCUCCCAAUUCCAAUCGCUAGGUUUUCAUCUAUAAUCUCUCUCCCUCCCUCCGUCAUUCAGUCUCUGGUUUUUAGGGCAUUCUUAGGGUUUUGAAUCAAGUAGUGUGCCUCUCGGCUAGAGAUUUUUGAGACUUUCGUGGUUCAGCAUUUGAUUUUGGGGAUGCAGAUAGCGCCAUGGCUAAGUCUCGGAUAGUUUUAACAACGGGGAGCUCCGCCGCGAACCGCCGAAAUUCUGGUACAGAAUUCGGGGACAUGUGGUUUAUGGGAUGCAGUUUUUGUCUUCGAUCAGCGUUUGAUUCCUACACCGUGGCUUGCAAGGCAUUUUUUGAGCAUGCACCGUCUUAAUCUGAUUCCGGUUGGGGUUGAGAACAAGAAGCUUUGAUCGAUAGAGUUUUUGAGAUACGUUUUUGUCUUUUCUCCGAGGAACGAAAGAAAAGAUUGUUCCUUUGCGGAGAUUUAAGGUUAUGGACUCCUGUAGUGGUUUGGAAGAUGCUGGCGUUGUGGAGAAAGAUCCGACUGGGAGAUACUUGCGGUAUGACGAAGUGUUGGGGAGGGGAGCAUUCAAGACUGUAUAUAAGGCAUUUGAUGAAGUCGAAGGAGUCGAAGUAGCUUGGUGCCAAGUGAAUAUCAAAGGAGUAGAAGAAGUGGAAAGAUUGUAUUCGGAGGUUCAUCUGCUGAAGUCACUGAAACAUCAAAACAUCGUACAGUUCCAUAACUCUUGGGUGGAUGAUAAGAACAUGACCAUCAACAUGAUAACAGAGUUAUUCACUUCCGGGAGCUUGAGGCAGUACCGAAAUAAGCAUAAGAAGGUCGAUAUGAAAGCCAUCAAGAAUUGGGCUAGACAGAUUCUUCGAGGUCUGGACUAUCUGCAUUCUCACAAUCCUCCAAUUAUUCAUAGAGAUUUGAAGUGUGACAACCUAUUUGUCAAUGGAUUUAAUGGAGAACUUAAAAUCGGAGAUCUCGGUUUGGCGAUUGUCAUGCAGCAGCCUACUGCUCAUAGCAUAAUUGGCACCCCUGAAUUCAUGGCUCCAGAGCUUUAUGACGAGGAAUACAAUGAAUUAGUCGACAUCUAUUCUUUUGGCAUGUGCAUGCUAGAGAUGGUGACUUGUGAAUACCCUUAUAGUGAAUGUAAAAAUCUGGCGCAAAUUUAUAAAAGGGUUACCUCUGGUGUAAAGCCUGCUUCCCUCAGUAAAGUAGACAAUCCUCAAAUCAAGCAGUUCAUAGAGAAGUGUCUAGUUCCAGCUUCUAUGAGAUUGUCUGCGGCGGAACUCUUGAAAGAUCCAAUCCUUGCAACUGACAACUUGAAUGAGUCCAGCUGUGAUCUUUCACAACUACAAAAGUUGUUUACCUUGCCAGAGCCCACAUCUAACUCGUCAGUGCUGGAGUUACAUUGUUUCUCUAAGAAUAAUGAGUUCAGGUUAAGAGCGGGGAAAAAUCCCGAUAACACAGUGUCUUUAACUUUGCGCAUUGCUGAUACAUGUGGUCUUGUGAGGAAUAUCAGGUUUGAUUUCUAUCUCGAUUCUGAUACUGUGAUUUCAAUUGCUUGGGAGAUGGUUGAGCAACUUGAUCUUUCACAUGAAGACGUCUCUGUCGUAGCUGAGCUACUUGAUAACUCGAUUGUGAAGCUUGUACCCGGAUGGAAACCUUCAUCGGAGUUGUCUCUAGCGGACAAAGAUAGGUAUGAUGCUCUAAAGAGGGAGCUUGAUGCUAUUGGUAAGCAGUAUUUCUCGAAAUUAAGGGAAGAGGAGAUGCAGAGUGCAAAGAAGAGUUGGAUAGCAGAAAACAAAAUAGCUGUAAUUGAUGUACUGUACUCUUGCUAAGUAUUUUCUUUUCGUCUGUUUUCCCUCUAACAUUCAUUUGAUUCUUGUGAAUUGUUUUCGUUAAGAAAUGCGGGCAUGUGUUUUUAAGUUUGGAUUUGUACUUACAUUUGUGUUUACGGUUAGUAAUGAAUAUUUUCUUGUUCCAAAAGAAUGUAUUUCUUUCAUAUGCAUAGCUCCUCCCCCUUUAUAUGUUUGUGCCUACUAUGAAGGUAAUUUCGUGGCAUAUGGGGAGGUACGUAAUUUUCUCUCCGCUCUAGGCAUACUCAUGUUGAUAGGAGAAAAUUUGUACCUGAUAUACAAUUUUAAUGGCACCAUCAUCUCAAUACCGUCCAUUAUCAAGUUAUUGCAUGUAACUAUUCUUUAAAUUUAUUUUUUUUAUUACAAGAUUUUUUUUUCUCCAUCUAAAUAUAUAUAUUUAUGCUUGCUAAAAUUAAAAAUAUGUUUGAAUUAUUUGGUACAAAAACGUAACAUUAUUCUUAUAAGUAUCUAUAAACACUAAAUAAGCCAAAAAGCAGCCUAACAAAACUUAAGCCAAAAAGCAUCCUAACAAAAUGAUUAAGACCUAAACUAGGGCUCCCCCUGUCACGUACUCAGUGAAGGCCAAAGCUACGAGACCUAACAUGGCCAACCGUCCAUUUAUGAGCUCAGCAUCUGAGGUCAUGAUCCCAUCUGAUUUUGACUCCACGCUGACUCCUUUAAGUAAAGGAAUCAAUGAUGCCACUGAUAGCAAAAUACUAGUUCCAAGGAACAAUGAGAUUCCACCGUUGGAUAUCUGAGCAAACACAUCCUGACCCUUGGAUAGUUCCACCGCCAGAGCUGAAACGAACCCAACCAUUGCAAGUCUGCCGUUGAUUCUCUCCGGCACUGGCCCACUGAAUGCAAACAAUUCUGAAAACUUUGUGCUAACCUGAAAACAAAAAAAACAAAAAAAAAAAAAAAUCUAUGCUUUGAGAUGCGUGUCGCAUAUUAUCCAUGUGUGAACGCCAUGAUAACAACAUAUUGAUAUGGAACUUCUUUGCUUUGGAUAAAUAUCACUUGUACUAUUCUCGAAUAAUUUUUAGCUUUGGAUAAAUAUUCUGGACAGAUAAACUUGCUGUAGGUCUUUUGAUACAGACCCAUUAUCUUGGUUUUAAACUUUUAAAUGUAGAAAUGCAUAAUUAGCUCGUAAGAUAAUAUUUGUUCAACUUUUAAUAGUUCAGACAAUGCACAUAAAUAAUUAACGGAUCAAUUCAAGUAACACUAGACAAUUUAAUAAAACAAUACCUUGCCGGGAGAAGGAGAAGGUGUAGGACGUGAUGAACUUUUUGAUGCCUCUGUAAUUGUAGAUGGUUGCUUCUUCUGGCCAUCCUACAAAUGAUAAAUUAGACACAGUGCGUAAUUAAUAUCAUUAUUUUAUAACUAUAUGUAGUUUAAGAUGCACAUAUAUAAGCCAAAUAAAGAAGAAGACAGAAGAACAGAAUAAUUACCUUGGCCAUUGAGCAUAUCCUUAUUUGAGGGUAGCUGUGCACAGUUGGUGCAACAAGGUGGCUCAUUCUAACUGAUUUAUUCUUUCCCGCUCCAUAAGCCAAGGAAUUAGCUAGGAAUGUUGAAAGCAUGAAAGUUGCUGAUGCAGCCAUUAUAUAUAUAUAUGUACUUUGGUUCUUAGUUAAACACUAACAAAAAGAUCAAACUCUAAGCUUUUGGAGAUGUAAUUUGUUCUUACUUCUUGAUAUCAAAGUUUGAGCACCUUAGUUGCUUUUUAUAAGGUAAUGGUGCCCCAGUGGGGGAAGCUCUUUAAGCGGUGUAUAGUUCGGCACCUCAUCACUUUUUUACUUUUCCAGUGACACUUGACCACGUCUGUGAGAAAAGAAAAAAAACUUACUUGAAACACGCAUUGUGUAGCUGUAAUUAUAUGACUAGAGAAGAGAAUAAAAAGAAGUAUACUUCUCUUGAAGGAAUGAGAGGCCGACGUACAUGCAUGGCUGCAGAACAUACAACAUUACUAUCUAGCCAGCAGUGACCAUCCUGUGGUCACAUUAAUUUGUCGGGUCUUCAAUUUUUUAUGAUCUUUUGAGCAAGGGAACGAUGUCUCACGGGACCACGACUCUUUUCAGCUAGGGGACAUGUGUAGCAAUAGCAGACACAAUUGCACUAGAGAAUGGAUCUUUAUGCUUCAUUAGUUUCGUCUGCAAGAAAAAUGUUAGAUGAGUACUUGGUGGUUCACUCUCUGAGUCACCUUGCAUAUUUGUAUUUGUUUGAUUGCUAGGACAGCUUUGUGCGUUUGGUCUUGUCUAUAUAUACGGAAAGGGAUCCUCUACGGAUCUCUUCCACCUAAUCAAUCAAUUCGGGCUCUUGAAAUUUGAUCAAACGAUUAAAAUUAUUAUAAUUUUUAAAGCGGGCCCCUGUUUUUUGUCAUUGGAUCAAAUUUCAAGAGUUCGGAUUGAUGGAUUUGCUGAAUUUGCUGGAAGGAAUCUGGAGAUGAUCCCUUUCCCAUAUAUACAAGGUGCAUGGUACAUAUAAGAGACAUGGCUCCCCGCACACACUACAACGUCGUACACAAGGUUUGGUUUGUUGUUUGAUUUUUUUAGUUCGACAAUAUACUCGAGCUUAAAAAAAAUUAAUUCAACCAAAAUUAUAGGGAUGAGUUAGUCUACAAUACUCUUUAAUUAAAAAAAAAAGUUUAUUGGUAUUGUUAAAUCUAAAUUUCAUUCAAGGUUGAAUUGAUGAAACUCGACGUACCAAAUAAGACUCACCGUUAGUUUAUUUGACGAGUACUCAAGAAAAAAGGGAAGGUGUAAACCAAAGGGUCUCUGAUGGCUAAGUCAGCGAAUGGUUUGAGAGAAAAUAGAAGAAAGAGAAUUCAGAGUAGUAAGUGGCGAUUUUCGAUUUUCCUAUUGGAACUUAACUAUUUAUAGGAGUAAACCCUGACAUGCAGCUAGGAGGGGAGGUUGUAUGCCAUACUAGGUAGACCUCUGUGUUGUGCUAGUGUGAUGCAAACCAUUCUCCACAGACAACUCACAAAUAGUCUCAAAGGUCUUUGAUAGAUAUUAUAACUGUCAUGUAUCGCAGGACACUCAAGGGAGACUCAAAAAGUCUGCUUUUUGCCACCUUAGGUCGAGUACGGCAUGGUGUUAGGAUUGCGAUAUCAUGGCCCAAAGGGUAUCUUGAUAUAUAUGUACCUGACUUGAAAGCCCAGUACCUAUGGGGUCAGAAGAUGCCAGGCCCUUUGAGGUACCAUGUGGUUUGCUCACAAUAUCAAGGGUAAAACCUUCAUAUUUAGUUAAAAGAUCACAUGUCCUUCUCCUAUUGGAUUUAGUAAAUGUAUGUCUCCAAAUGUAUUAUUAAAUUUGAACAUUUGAAGUGCAAUGCAAUCACGUUCAAGUAUAAUAUCCUAUAUUUAUAGUAAAUUAAUACAGCAUCUAGUACGUAAAUGUCAACGUUUUUAUAGUAUUACUGACGUCAUUUUGUGUAAUUAAAUUAUAGGAUUAUAUAUAACCUUAUCUAUCUUGUCACUCACACCUUGAAUGUUAAAAUCAUGUUGUACACGGUUAUACUUUAGGAUAGGAGGACAUAAGGGACUAAGAUGUUGUGUAUUAUCAUGACGUACGCUAGUGAUAACUUACAUCUACAUUAUAAUAAGACGUUCAUGGUCAUCAACGUUGGUAUUAUUAGUGCAAACAUGUUUAAGAGGCCAAGCUAGAAAUAGCGUUCAUGAGGGGUCUAACUAGGCAAUGGCAGCUGCAGGUCAUUGUUAAAUUCCAAAUAGAGCGCGAGCGGCCCUAAUUAUUUUUUCAACUUUAAGUGAGGCAUUUUAUCGAGCACUUAACCCAUACUCAAUAUUGUGUGCUUAGUGUACGAGUCUCCACCUUUUGUGCCGUUUUAGUUGUAUCUUUAGGCUCUAUAUUGUUAUAGUGAAUAAAUUAAAAGAUAUACUCUAUAUGUACAGAAUUAGGAGGUCAGAUUUAGUUCAUUAGACGUAUGAGGGUAGAAAAUUCAAAAUGAACAGUGUAUAUUGUGACAACAAGUCUCUAAUUAAUUUGUCUUUCCAGUAAAUAUUGUGCCACGUGGAUUCUCUUGUCCACGCGUAGUAGUUUGAGAGACGUGCCACAAGUAUCAUCACAAUGUACUAGGUAGUGAUUUCUGAGGUUACAAUUGUUCAAGGUUUUCAAAGUUUUGUAUAGGGGAGGGAAAAGGACCGACUGAUGCCUCACGGGACCACGAGCACUAGUUUCAAGGUUUCAACUAGAGGACAUAAGUAAUAACAGACACAAUUGCACUAGACAACGAAGCUUUUGAUUCGUUUUCGCCAGAAAGAAAAUUAAAGGUUGGAUGGUUAUAUUGCUUUGCUUGUUCAUCAUGGGUCAUGACAACUCUCUCAUCAUUUGCAUUUGUCUGAUAGUUUUUGGAGAGCUUUGUGGGCAAUUUAUCUGUUGUCUAGUCCAUGUAUGUGAUCUCAGGGACGUGGCUCCCCAAACACGGCAAAAUGAACAAGUCAAGAAUUAAUUGUGCUCCCAUUAAUUUUUUAAGGUUUUUACUUUUCUAGUAUUUUCAGUGUAGUGAAGCUAUGUGCACAAGCACACAAUUAAUAUGAAUUAGCACCAAGUUUAAUUUCUAUAUUGCAGUAUGCGUGUAUGCCUUUUGAAACUACUUACUGUUUUAUACGACGAUUAACUUCUGGGUACUAGUACAUGUAUUAACAUAUAUGAACUUCAAGCAUAAAGCAUUUGAUAAGGAGAUGUUACCAAUCUCCACCUUAUAAGUAGCAUUAAACGAUGGCCUUCUCUUUCUGCUUUGUCCUUUAUAAUUUUUAAAUUCUUGCAUUGUUACUUAAAUUCUUAGAAAGGUCGAAGCAUACUGGCCAUCACCAUGAGGUAAUGUAACCAUAAGGGUAAGCGAUGCAAAAAGUGAAUAAAAUUAAAACCAAUUAGAACUAAACAGUGAAAGAGUGCGCAAUCAUGAGUUGAACCCACUACAAUUAUUCAGAGCGUAAUAGACAGUGAGACUACAGAAGAGUAGUCAAAACGACCAAAGUACACUUAUUACAUAAUAGUGAUAAGUUCGUACGUCUAAACAGAAAGAAAUGUCAGAACUGCCAAGAUUCCUUGAGUGCCAUAAAGAGUACAACUAUCUAGGUCCUGGAAGGGCGAAAAACAAAGUUGAGUGGGUCAACAAAACAAUGCUUAUAAGAAAACCUUUAACUUUGAAAAUACUAACCUCUCGCCAUAAAACAAGUAUAGAUUCCUUAAAACAUACUACUCAGGUAUAUAAACAAUAAUUCGAUAAUAUUAUGGCAGUAAUAUAACCAGGAAUAUGCCAAGUAAUGAUGUAUCAAAUGCCACAGUAAUAAUCAUGUGAUAAUCAAGUAUAACUAAGUGCUCGUCCAUCUAAGCUGACACACAAGUUCGAACAAAUAGUUUCUGACACGAACAGGACUGGAUGUAAUCAAUAUGCUCUAGUACUACGAUCAAGUGAAGACUGGUGUAGAAGCACAUCACAUACAAGUCGGAUUGCCUAAUGCAAUCUACCCGACAGGACUGGCACCUAACUUGGAUCCAAGGCGAACGAAUGUUGCGGAUGUGAACAUACACGUGAAGGACUGUCCCUGGCCCUGGGGCAAGUACUAACACCGAGGUGCAGCAAGAUGAGCAUGUAUAUAAGUAUGUAUGAAUGUCGUGACAGUAAUAUCUUAGCCAUAUAGCAGCAUUUAUCACAAUAUAUAUCACAAUAACGAUACUUGGCAAUAUAAGCGUAAAAGUGAAGUAAAUACGCAUUUAUGGAAACUACAAAUAUGUAUAGGUAUAAAACAACUGCCACUCACAAGUACGUUGCUGGGUCGUAGCCCCCGAGCCUAGCUUGGCCUCGUAAAUUCUCAGGAUAAGUUUCCCCUAUAUGUGAAAUAACUAAAAUAACAUUAACUAAAGCACAUAACGGAAACCUAAAUAAAACCCCCAUAGUUUGCUCAAACCUAGGGUUUAAAUAUAUGAAAUCGAUCUACUCAACGACACGAACACACACAUGUCGACCACACGCCGGUCGGAGGCCGGACGCACCGUCACGCGCUGCCCAAAGUGGCUGCACAAAAUGGUCACAUGCGCCCGCGAGUACAGGCGUACUUGCCUUCCUCGCGAUUUUCUGCAAUUUUUGCAGAUUUUUGGCCAACUUCCAAAGUUCGAAUACGAUCCGUGUUAUUCAGAAAUUUGGCCUGAAAGUGGCCAAAUGACCAUGAUUGCAAAUUUUCCAGAAACUGAAAUUUUCUUCCCAACUUCCAGAGUUGAUUUCUAACUCGUUACUUAACCAAACUCUGUGAUUCAAAAGCCAUUUUGAAGUUAGGAAUGUAGAGAACAAGUUUGUACUAGUAGGAGCCGAGAUGUGGUCGAUGUUGACCGAAAAAUGGGUUGAAAGUGACCAAAUGGUCACGGUCCUUGACUGAAAAACGUGCAGGUUCUUCUUUUUCUUGAGUUUUCUGGGUAAAACUGUAACAUCCCACAUCGCCCAAGGAAGUGAUCCUUAAAUGUAUAUUCCCAUCCCUACCUAGCACGAGGCCUUUUGGGAGCUCACUGGCUUCGGGUUCCGUCGGAACUUCGAAGUUAAGCGAGAAGGUGGCCAGAGCACUCCCAUGAUGGGUGACCCACUGGGAAGUUGCUCGUGAGUUCCCAGAAACAAAACCGUAAGGACGUGGUCGGGACCUAAAGCAGACAAUAUCGUGCUACGGUGGUGGAGCGGGCCCGGGAAGUGGUCCGCCCCAGGCCGGGAUGUGACAAAAUGGUAUCAGAGCCUAACCCUAGCCGUGGUGUGCCGACAAGGUCGUCAGGCCCCUUAGGAGGGUGGAUUGUAACAUCCCACAUCGCCCAGGGGAGUGAUCCUUAAAUGUAUAUUUCCAUCCUUACCUAGCACGAGGCCUUUUAGGAGCUCACUAGCUUCGGGUUCCAUUGGAACUCCGAAGUUAAGCGAGAAGGUGGAUAGAGCACUCCUAUGACCCACUGGGAAGUUGCUCGUGAGUUCCCAGAAACAAAACCGUGAGGGCGUGGUUGGGGCCCAAAGCGGAUAAUAUCGUGCUACGGUGGUGGAGCGGGCCCGGGAAGUGGUCAUUCCCGGGCCCGGAUGUGACAAAAACCAUAUGUUCAAAACAUAACAAGAGAUCAAUAUCAACCCAUAGAAGUGAAAUGAAAGUUCUAAGGGUUUCUCAAGGCUUACCUAAGCCAUGAAUGGCCUGAAAAUCGUUAUGUCGAACUCGCCAAGUCGACCUUUUGAGUUGGUGAGUCAAAACUCGUCUACACCAGAUUUCAAAGACAUGGUUAUGAUCAUAGGACUGAGAUAAACAUAAUGGUGUAGUUGGUUUGUCACGUUUGUGAGUUUUGAUGUGUUUUUGUGAAGGUUGCAGAGAUGAAGAGGGAGCUCGGUGAGGAAGAGAGAGUGUGAUGUGAGGUUGCUUUUCUAAUUGGGGGACAGAAAUGAGGGAGAGAUGGGAUAGGUGGGGGAGUAAAUAAUGGAGGAGGGUGCACGGGAUGGACUAGGUAGAAGCUAGGGAUAGGCUUUAGACUUUUGUAUAGAAAAGAGUAUCGAAAAUCUAUCCGGAAUAGUAUUUUUGUACUGAUAAUAUUUACGUACACCCGCAACAUGUACAAUUAAAUGCGAUAGCGAGAAAAAAAAAAGGAAAGAGAUAAGAAUAAGUCCACGUCACUUGCCAAUAAGGGCAUAAUCGUCAAAUUUCAUAUUCGGGGAGAAAUUACAUAUGAAAAUUAGGGACGGGUCGUCACAAUGUACCCCCUUUAUAAAAAUUUCAUCCCUAAAAUUUCAAUACUGACUGCCAUCAAAGCCAUAAAACAGACGUGGAUACAUAUCUUGCAUACGCUAUUCUGUCUCCCAAGUGGCUUCCUCCACUAAGUGGUUCCUCCACAAAACCUUCACCAUCCGCACGAUCUUGUUCCUAAGAACCUUAUCCUUCCAUCAAGGAUAGUCACUGGAACCUCAACAUAGGUCAAAUCUGGAUUGAUCUCUAAUGGCUGAGGAGGGACUACUGUGUGACGGAUCAGAAACGUACCUCCGUAACAUCGAUACAUGAAACACAUUAUGCACUCUCGCCAACUCUGAUGGCAAAGCAAGUCGAUUAGCAACUUCACCGACUCGUUCAACAAUCUGGUACGGUCCGAUGUACCUAGGGCUGAGUUUCCCUUUCUUUCCGAUCAUUAACCUUAUAAACUCUGUCGGUAAAAUGUCUGUCUGCGAUACUCUUUUGACGAUCCUGGGCCGCUUUCAGGUUAGCCUUUAUCACAUUAAUGUUCUGUGUCGUCUCAUCCACGAUCUCAAGGCCCACCAAAACUAGCUUACCGACCUCGGACCAACAACGCUUCAAAUGGUGCCAUACCAAUACUAGAAUAGAAGUUGUUGUUGUACACGAACUCUAUUAACGGUAAGCACUUGUGCCAAGCGUGUCCAAACUGUAGAACUGACGAUCUUAACAUAUCUUCCAAAGUCUGGAUAGUUCUCUCUGACUGCCCAUCAGUUUGAGGAUGAUAGGCGGUGCUGUAGAGUAAUCUCGAUCCCAAAGCUUCCUUAAAAGCUACCCAUAACUUCGAAGUAAAUCGUGGAUCCCGGUCACAAAUGAUACUAACUGGACUCCGUAGUACCUAACCACUUCAGAGAUGAACUGUUCGGCCAACUGAUUUAACGAGUAAUUCUCACGGAUGGGUAUGAAGUGCGUUGACUUGGUAAGUCUAUAAACUACCACCCAAAUACCAUCGUAACCAUUUCGCGUACGAGGUAAUUUGUACACGAAAUCCAUUGUAAUAUCUUCCCAUUUCCACUGAGGUAUCGGGAGUGGUUGUAGCAAUCCAAACGACUUUUUCCUUUCUGCUUUAACCUGCUGGCAAAUUGCAUAACGACUAACAUACUUUGCAACUUCUCUUUUCAUACCUGGCCAAUAAUAAAAGUGUCGGAUGGUAUGAUACAUCUUGGUGCUCCCUGGAUGCAUCGAAUAAGCAAAAAUAUGCACUUCAUCCAAUAUGUCUCUCUUCAGUUCCUCAACAUUCGGUACAUACAUCCGUUCGCCUUGCAUAAGCAUGUCGUCAGGAUCUUUAAUCUAGAGGUCAUUCUUUUUCCCGUCUAACACUGCCUGUAUCAAUUCCUGAUAUUCUGUAUCGUUCUUCUGGGCUUCGAGAACACGAUCUAACAGAACCGGUCUGACCUGAAAACUAGCAAUUAAGGCCCCCCAACGACCCUCUUUCAAUGCUACUCCAGUGGAUCUUAGGUUAGUCAAAAGAGGAACGCGACUAGCAUAAAGAGCAUUAAGUUGGCCAUGAGACUUCCUACUAAGAGCAUCAACUACUGAAUUGGCACGACCUGGGUGAUACUCAAUGGUGCAGUCAUAAUCACUUAGCAACUCUUCCCACCUCCGAUGUCGAAGAUUGAGGUUCGGCUAAUUGCAGAUAUACUUAAGGCUCUUGUGAUCAGUGAAGAUCUUACACUUUUCCCCAUAAAGAUAAUGCCUCUAGAUUUUCAAGGCAAAGAUGAUCACUGCCAACUCGAGAUCGUGAGUAGAAUAGUUCUUCUCAUGGGGCUUUAACUGCCGCGAAGCAUAAGCAAUCACUUCAUCAUGCUGCAUUAACACACUCAAGACCAUUAAGAGACGCAUCACUGUAGAUCUCAAAGUUCCCACCAUCAUCAGGAAGUGCUAAGAUAGGUGCAUGAGUGAGAAGAUACUUCAACUGCUGGAAACUGUGCUCACGCUCACUACUCCACACAAAAGGAACUUCUUUUCUAGUCAAUUUUGUCAAAGGUAGUGUUAUGGUCGAAAAGUCUUUCACGAAGCGUAGAUAAUAACCAGCAAUACCAAGAAAGCUUCGAACUUCUGUAACUGUCCAAGGUUGUUCCCAAUUUUCCACAGCUGCUAUUUUCUGAGGAUCCACAAGCACGCCCUGAGCUGAUACCACGUGCCCUAAAAAUGACACUUAUCCAGCCAAAACUAACAUUUGUUGAACUUAGCAUACAACCGAUUUGCCCUUAGCGUGUUUAGAACCACACGCAGAUGCCUGGCAUGAUCAGUUUCGUUCUUCGAAUAACAUCCCACAUUGCCUAGGGGAGUGGAUCAUGUAAACCUUAUAUGUAUAUUCCCAUCUCUACCUAGCACGAGGCCUUUUGGGAGCUCACUAGCUUCGGGUUUCAUCGGAACUCUGAAGUUAAGCGAGUUCGCGCGAGAGUAAUCCCAUGAUGGGUGACUCACUGGAAAGUUUUCAUGUGAGUUCCCAGAAAUAAAAUCGUGAGGGCGUGGUCGCGGCCCAAAGCGGACAAUAUCGUGCUACGGCGGAGUCGAGGCCGGGAUGUAGUGAGGGCCCGGGGCGGGAUGUGACAGUAAAUUCUAUGAUCUAGAUAGUCAUCAAUGUAUUAAGUUGGCAACUUAUUUUAUUAUUUUAUUUCUGAAAAAACGAUACUAUAUAUAAUGAGCUAGCAAUAAUACGGUUCAAAUUUUCCCUUAAUGAUAAUCAAACCUAAGACCUCUAACUUACAAGUGAAGAGGAAAACUAUUAGACCAUAGUACUAAGUGACAUCAAACUUGUUUUUAGAUUAGAAAAAGGAACACAUGCCCCUGUGAUCUGAAAUAGAGAGGCAUACUGGCCCAAGUAACCUCUAAAUUGUUUUUUUUAACUGGUCCCAAAGUAACAAUAACACAUGCCCCUCUGAUCCAAGUUGGUUACUGCAUUAGUUUAACAAAAUAAUUUAUAAAAAUAAUUUGUUUCCAAGCACUACGAAGAGCAAUUCCACCCCAGCCCUUUAGGCUGACACAUGAGUUCAUACAGAUAAUUUCUAAUAGGCUGGCACCUAGCCCAAGCCAGGCCAUAUGCCAGCUCAGAAUCGACAGAGUAAAUGGACGGCCCAUCUGACAUCAUGCUGACGCCAGCGUGACGUCCAAUGGCAUUUUAUUUUUUUUUGCUCCAGGUGCGCGUCACCAACAAGAAAUCAGAGGCGAGCCCGCUUGCGCAAUCGCACUAAACCAAUUUGAUGAAAAGCCACGUGGCUAGUCUUGGGCUGUUGGAUUCCCAACGGUAAAAAAAUUUUGAAUUUGAAAUCCAACGGCUAGUGAUGUGACUUGAUCUGGACUGUCCGAUCCAGAGAUCAACGAUCCACGUUUUUCCCCUAGAAUUUUUUUUAAAAAAGGCACAAUGGUUAAAAUUAUGACCGUUGGCCACGUGUCAACAUAUAGGCUAUUGGAUUUGAAUCUUUUUCAAAUCCAACGAUCCAGAUUAAUAAACUAAAUUAAAAAUUGUUAAAAAAAAUUCAGAAAAAAUUAAUUUUUUUUUCCUAUAAAUACCUAACCCUUAUCUUCUACCUUACACCAUAUUUCAAUAUUUUCAACACUUUCUACCAAAACUUUCAAAUAUUUUUUGUGUGAAAAAAAUACCAAGAACCUCAUCCUUUCUUUUUUGUCCAUAUAAAACCUACAUCCCUACAUCCAUCUUCAUCGUUUUCAAAUCUUGAGUUCUUACAAUGUCUUCUUCAAGGAGAGUGUAUAAACAGUUUGAGGAGCAAUAGAAAAGAUUGUUGGCACAACGGGAAGAAUUGGUCAAUCUCGAGGAAGAUAGAGGUGGAGAUGAGGCUUUCGCAAUGGAGGAGGAUGAGGAUGAUGACCAUAGAAGGCAGAGGGCCUCACAUUCCCGUCGUGUCAUGGAAGUUGUGGGUUAGAUAGCCAAACCCAGACACGCCGCAAACUUCAAUAGAAAAAGGGAAAGACAAGGUAAAGAUCUCUUGGAAGAUUAUUUUAUUCCCAACAGCGUAUUCCCUGAUCAUGUUUUUAGAUGUCGUUUUAGAAUGCAACGAAGUUUGUUCAACAAAAUCAUGAGUUCUAUUUGCAACCAUGAACCAUACUUUGUGAAAAAAGAUAAUGCUUUUCGUGUUCUAGGUCUUCUUCCUGAGCAAAAAAUUAGGCUGCCUUGCGAAUGCUUGCGUAUGGUGCAUUUGCAGAUCAAAUGGAUGAGAUCGUGAGGAUUGGGAAAACAACUGUUUUGGAGUCCAUGAUUCGGUUUUGCUCUGCAAUGGAAGCCCUCUACACUAAUGAGUACCUCCGAAAACCCACACCAAUGGACAUGCGAAGGCUUCUGAGGAAGGGUGAGAUACGAGGCUUCCCUAGCAUGAUUGGAAGCAUCGAUUGCAUGCAUUGGACCUGGAAAAAUUGUCCAAGUGCUUGGCAAAGAGUGUAUAGUGACAGAAAAAGAGCCAAAAGUAUCAUUUUGGAAGCGAUGACUUCAUUUGAUACAUGGAUUUGGCAUGCAUUUUUAGUGUUCCAGGAGCUCAGAAUGACAUAAAUGUCCUUGCUUAAUCUUCAGCAUUCGACGAAGUGCUUUAAGGAAAAUCACCCAAAGUCACAUAUUCAAUGAAUGGCCAUACAUAUGAAAUGUCGUACUACCUUGCAGACAGCAUUUACCCAAGGUGGACAACGUUUGUCAAAACAGUCCCAUAUCCACAAAGUGAAAAAGUAAAACACUUUGCAAAAUGUCAAGAAGGGUGUAGGAAAGAUGUGGAACGUUGUUUUGGUAUCCUGCAAGCUCGUUGGGUAAUUGUCCGAUCAACUGCUAAAAUGUUUGAUGUCGAGGCACUUGGAUCCAUCAUGAUGACGUAUAUCAUUCUCCACAACAUGAUUGUGGAAGAUGAGUAUGAUUAUGAUGUUGUCAACGAAUAAGAGCCAGACACAAUGAACAACUCAAGAACACGUAUCUAUUGUGCUCAUGACGCCACCGAAGAUCUCGUGCAACACGAGCCAUUGGAACGGGAUCGACGUUACAAUGAAUUGUUUGAGGAGCGGUACACUUCAUUGCAAGAGCCAUAUUGGCAUUGUACUUGUCAAAGUGACUUGAUUGAGCACCAAUGGGGAUUGCAACAAGGUCAAGAUAAUUAAAAGAAGCUUGUGGUGGAACAAUAAGGUUCUUGGUUUAUUUAGGGUGUUUUUUUUUAAGUUUAUUUGAUGAGUUUAUGUAAUUUUAUUUUGGGUAAAUUACAUUUCAACCCCUCAGGUUUGAGGUCGAUUUCAAUUCCUUACAACAUCUUUAAAACAUUUCAACUUCAUACAUUUACUUAUCAUUUUAUUUCAAUUUCAUACAUCCGUUAGAAAAUCUGUUAAGUAAAUCGUUAAGUGCUGACGUGGCUGCCACGUGGCUAAAAACUUGAAAAAAAAUUAAAAAAUUAAAAAAAUUAUUUAAAGAAAAGUUAAAACAAAAAAAAACACAAAACCCAGAUCCCCACCUGUGCCCACCCUCCCACCCCUUCCACCAUCCCCCAUCACCUGCAACCACUUCCCUCCCCACUGCGCCUCCAUCUCCGACGAGAACCUCCAUGCCGAGCUCUUCCCCUAGUACACCGGCAAAACUCGCCGGAGCUUAUCGAGUCAACGUUUAGGGUUCGUGUCAAGGAACCCUACAAUCCUAAAGAAAGUCAAUCUUUUUCUUGCACUGGAAGCUGAUAGGUGGAACAAGGAGGUAAUCUUGAACGGACUCGAAAUGUUCAAACUCAGUGCAAACCGGAAUCUCGCUGAACCAAGCCCUGACCCACCUCUUGUAGCCGCAGCAAAAGGGACACCAUCAAAACCUAGCAUAAGAUCAAGAACUCAUUUGAUUGCCACGGUUGUCAGUGUAGCUUGCGAAAUACUUGGACUCUCUGUCCUUAGAUUCUUGGUUUUUAGGCGACGGCAGAAAGUCAAAGGCACUGCCUCAAAUGGGUCAUCAUCUUUACCAACACAUUUGUGUUGUUACUUUUCAUUAGCAGAGAUCAAAGCCGCCACCCAAAACUUUAGCCAGAGUUUCAUUGUUGAGAUGGGAGUCACAUCCCGGCCCGGGCCCCCACCACAUCCCGGGCUCGACUCCACUGUAGCACAAUAUUGUCAACUUUGGGCCCCGACCACACCCUCACAGUUUUGUUUCAGGGAACUCACAUGAGAACUUCCUAGUGGGUCACCCAUCUUCGGAUUUCUCUCGCGCGAACUCACUUACCUUCAGAGUUCAGAUGGAACCCGAAUCCAGUGAGCUCCCAAAGGGCCUCGUACUAGGUAGAGAUGAGAAUAUACAUAUAAGGCUUACAAGAUCCACUCCCCUGGACGAUGUGGGAUGUUACAAUGGGUGAUGGGGGUGGGAGGGUGGGCAUGUGGGUUUUGUGUUUUGUGUUUUAUUUUUUUUAAUUUUUUUUAACUUUUCUUUAAAUAAUUAUUUUAAUAUUUUAAAAAUUUUAUUAAGUUUUUAGCCACAUAGCACAAAUGUGACAGCUACGUCAACACAAAUGGGGACCCCAUAUUUGCCAUGUCAUCACUUAACAGUUUACUUAACAAAAUUUCUAACGGAUGUAUGAAAUUGAAAUAAAAUGAUAAGUAAAUGUAUGAAAUUGAAAUGUUUUAAAGAUGUUGUAAGGAAUUAAAAUCGACCUUAAGCCUGAGGGGGUAAAAUGUAAUUUACCCUUUUAUUUUAGUGUUUUUUUUAAGUUUAUUUGAUGAGUUUAUGUAAUUUUAUUAUGAUAAUGACACAUGGCGUGACGAGAUUGGUUAAAAAUCCUAUCUGAAAUUAAAACUAUUUAUUUAUUUAUUAUUUUAUAAAAAAUUUAAUAAUAUUUUAAAUGGGCUAGGUGCCAGCGCAUUUUGUAUGGGUAGAGAUCGUUUGUGCCAGCGCAUUUUUUAGGGAUGGAGAUGCAUUUGGCCUAUUACUGUUCAUUAAGGUCUAUCACUAUUCACUGAGUGGAUUAAAUGGAUUGGAUGCUAACACAUUUUUUUAGAGGUGAACUUGCUCUAAUAGUAGAGGUCCCCGAAAAUCAGAAUUCCCAAAAAUCCUAAUCCAACUCCAUAAGUUUGGUCCACAAUUGUUAGUGUCCUAGCAUUUCUCUAACUUGGUGGCACACUCUUUCAGUCACUUUGCAUAAUUGCAUUUGUUUGAUAGCUAGGACAGCUUUAUGCGUUUGGUCUUGUUCAUAUAUACUUGGUACCAUGAUAUAAGAGACGUGGCUCCUUGCACAUACUAUAACGUCACGCUCAGGGUUGCUCAUUUUUUUUUCUUUUUUUCUGCAGAAACAAUAUUAUUUACAUUAAAAAAAAUGUGGAUUUAACCUCAUAAUGGGUUAGCAAUAAUAUAGUUUAAAUUCUCAUUGGCGAGAAUUAAACAUAAGACAUCUUAUUUACAAGUGAAGAGGAAUACCACAAGACCGUAAUACUAAGUGGCAAUAUAUACUCAAAUUUAAAAAACUAAUUUUAAGCAUUUAUUCAAUUGAUAUUGCAGGGAUGAGUUAGUCUAUGAUACUGUAAAUACAAAUUUCAUGUAGCAAAUAAAACAAUGUGUACAAAAUAAAUGUAUUGUAUUAAUAUAGGUUUAGGGUUACAAUUUAUGUUUACAAUUUGAAUCAUUUGACUUGAUCUCCGGAAUGCAAAGUAUGUGUGUGUUGGGGAUUAUUGAUCCAAGAAUUGCGAUGACUUGAUGACCUCGGAUGAACAGAUGACGCAAGAGUUUGGCUUGUAGCGAUGGAAGAAUUGGUACGUGUAAUGGUGCUUGAUGAUGCUUCACGGGUUAGAUGAAGAACGUAGAGAGUUUUCUAAAUCUUCUAAAUGUUUGGGAAUUUGGGAGUUUGGAGGCUUGAGAGAGCUUUAGCGUUUGAGUGUGAGAAUGAUUUUCUAGACCCUUUCCUUGUCUUGGAGCCUUCUCUUUACAGACUCUCCAAGCUUUGCCUACGGAAAAACCAAGACUUGAUUUGUGUCUUAGUUCGUGAUUUGUGAUUUCACUCCAUCAAUUAAAAUUUGAUUUAAUCAAAUAAAUCAAUCUUCCCAAUUUGGCAUUUUUAUUUGAUUUAAAUUUAAAUUAAUUAAUUUGUUUAAUUUAAAUUAAAAUCAAAUCAUUUAUUUCCACCAAGUGUUGACAUGUGUCCUCUUGAUGAAUCGUCCAGUUUUGAUGAGUCACAUGCCAUGUGUACGCUUUGUGAGACACAUGGUGCUUGCCACGUAAGUCUUGGCAUUUCAAAAUUUAAUGUGUUGGUGAACAUUUAUUCAUUGGAAUUUCAAUGUCUACAAAUGGUCCCUCGCAUAGUGAAUGUACUUUGAGCACUAUACUUUGAAGUCCAUCAACGUAGAUGGCAAUCCCUGAAAAUCUUAACAAGCAACAUGACCAGGAUUACCUUUAGAUAAACCAUAUGUAUUAAGUUUAAUCCAAGAAAACUUAGGAGAAGACCAGAGCACAUGAAUAAAUAGUAGGCGCCUUGCGAGCGAUGGAUUGGAACUUUAGAGAAUAAUUGAUAUGAGUGUCAAAACCCUGAGAAUAACUAGGAAUAAACUUCCCACUAUGAACGACCCCUGAAUUGAUAGACAUGCAAGGACGAUGAUAAUAUAUUGGGCGGCCCUAAAAAAUAAACUUAUUUCGAGCUUUACAAAUAACCGAAAUAGUAGAAAGACUUGUAAAAUCCAGAGAUUAUGCAAUUGUUGGAAAAAAAAAACAGCCAAGAAUAUGAAAAAGACAAAGAGGUACCAAAUUGACAUGCUAACCACCUCUAAAGUUGCCUAAAUAUCCGACAUCCAAAGAAAAAUGAACAGUAGAUUCCUCAAAAUUAUGACAUAAACAAGAAAUACCACGUUGUUGUAGUGCACCCUCAUUAGAAAUGUUAUUAUUAAAAGUUUCCAAGCCAAAAUAGAUAGUUGAGCGGAAUAAAAUGUUGCCAUACAACCCUAGCUCAAUCAUAGUCACUAUGUUUUCUUCGAAUAAGAUGACAACCAGAAGAAAAAGAAAAGUUCCCAGUAGGCGAGGGCUACCAGAUCAAUUUAUCAUCUUCUACAUUUAAAGGUAAAGGUAAAUAUAAAUCUGUUGCACCAGAAAAAUGAAUAAAUCUACAAAAUAAUCUACCAAAGACCAAUUUUGAGCUUUAAUAACAUUUGAAAUCCGAGGAAGAACUAUAGGUGAAAUGACCAAAGAUAAUGAAGUGCUAAUAGUCGGGUCAUCCAACCAUUUGUCAAACCAAAAGGAAACUGACGUCCCAUCACCAAUAAUCCAAUGACUAUUAUUAUUCAGAAUAAACAAAACAUGCUUUAAACCAUGCCACACAAAAGACCAUAAAUGUAUACCUUAUUUUUGUAGGAAGGGGGAAGCUUUUAAGCGGCCAUCGGUGUAUAGUUUGGAUUCAUAUUGCUGAAUUGAUUUCUUUGUGAUAAUGGGCAAGUCGGUUGUUUGUCCAAACGGAAAGGAAAUAACAUAGUAAAAGUCUUGCAGCUUUCUCACUCCUUUCCUGACUCGUCACAUGAGGAGAGCAAGUCAAAUCACUCAAAAAGUGUAUCGUAUACAACUCGUUGCCGUGUGAAAUGAGACAUUUCUGAAGCACAUACCACAAAGUUAAGUUACUGGUGGGCAAUUCUAAGAUAACUCUCUCCUUUCAUGACUAAUCACAUGAGAGGAAUUUAUCAUGUUAAAAUACUAAAAAUGAUGUAUUAUAGAAAGUUUUAACGAAAAGUUUACGGUACUGUUUACUUUAACAAAAAACCAUAUUUUUUACACUAAAAAGUCAAAUUUGGUACUAUUCACUUUACUUUUUAUUUUGUCCUUAUCAUUAAAACUCAAAGUUUUCAAGAGCUUUUCAUUAAUUUUCCUUAUAUUGUAUACAAUUUGUUACAUGUAAGUUUCUCUUUGUUAAAUAAAAAAUGUGGCUGAAUUACAGAUCACAACGUUACAUUACUAGUGGCCAGGUGAUUCAAAUUAAAUGUCACAUGUUCUUCAAUUUAUUUGAUCUUUUGAGAAGAAGGAUCGAUAUUUCACGGGGCCACGCGAGCACUUUUAGAAGCCUUUUUUUUUGGGACACUUUGGAUGCGGUCCCUAGCUAUCAAUAUCCUUUGAUUGAAACCUUGUUAGUUUUUAGUUUUUGAUUGAGGUCCCUGAUAUUAAUGUAAUAAUGUAAGUUACUAUAUUUUUUUAAUUAAAAAUUAAAAAUUGAAAUUUGUAAUUGUUUAUAUUAAUGAGAUUUUAAAUAAAACCCAUAAUUAUGGGAUUAAAAAUAAUAAAAUAUAAAUUAUUCUCUCUAUAUUGUGUGUGUGUGUACAUAUAUGUAUGGGUACAUUAACCAAAAUUAACAAAAAAAGUUAUUGUACCAAAACAUGGAUACAUUCUCAAAUCAACGAAAAAGAAUGUACCCAUAUAAGUUUAAACAUGGAUUAAAAAAUUUGAAUGGAUUUUAUAUUAAAAAAUGGUACAUUUUACAUAUAACAAAUUGAUAUAUUUGAGAAUGGGUACAUUUAAGAUUAAAAAAAUUGAAAAAUUAUAUGAAUGGGUACAUUUAAGAUUAAAAAAUUGAGAAUCUUUUUAUAUAUAAAAAAAAACUAAUAGGUACAAACUUAAUUUAAUUUAAUUUUUUAUUAUUUUGGAAAUGUUUGAAUUGAAAAUUAAUUAGAAGUUUAAUAGAGGUGUGAGUAUUAAACCCUAAAUUAAUUACUAAUUUUUAUAUUAAAAAAAUUAUAUAAUAAACAUGUAAAUUCAUUAUCACAUUAAUGCUAGGGACUUGAAUCAAAAUUUGAGAACUAAUAAGGUGUUAGUCAAUGAACAGUAAAAACUAGGGACCGGAUACUAAUUUUUCCCUUUUUUUUUGUCGAUGAGCACUUUUGAAGCUUAAUUUUAGCUAGAGGACAUUUGCAGGAGCAGACAGAAUUGCCCUUGUCAACGAAUCUUUUGCUUCAUUUUCGUCAGAAAAAGUUGGAUGAUUAUGUACGUAUAUACGAAAUACUUGGAUACUACCUUGCUAUUCACAUACAGUCAGUUGCACUUGCAUACAAUUUGUUUUAUAGCAACGACAGCAUUGUGGGCAUAAUCGAUGGUAUGUUAGGGUAGGGACGUGGCUCCCUGCACACACCACAUCGUCCCAGUCAGCUGGGAUUCUGAGGUCCCGUUAAAUUUCUGUCUUCUUCCCUUCUUUUUUAUUUAUUUAUAUUUUCAGUGUAAUAUUGCAGCAAACAACAAGUUGCGUGCACAACAUAAGGAAUUACGUUCAAAUUUUACGAUGUAACGAGUUGCAGACAUAAAAGUUUAACUAAGGGAUAUCAUGCUGGUAUCGCAUUUUUUAGCUUUGAUUUUAUUAGUUUCAUGGAUUUUGGUGAGAGAGAGCUAAUGUGACAUAUUUCUAUAUUACAUUGAUUAGUACUACCGUACAUCUCCAGUAAACUGAGCUGAGCUAUAUAUUUCUACUAGUCCAGCCUUUUUUAAUUAUCAUGUGGUCCUAAUGUUGUAUGAUAUGUUGUAUUUGGUUCUAUACAUGUUCCCUUUAAUUAUGUUUGACCUCUUAUCCGGUUAAUUGGAAUGAUCACUAACAGAAGUGUACCUCAUAACAACAGAUUUUUGUUUUUGUAGUUUAAUUUUUACGAUUUUUCAUUUUUGUCAAACAAGCUUUUCUCCAUUUUCCAUGCAAAUAUACUCGUCUAAUAGAUGCAACUUUUCUUUUAUCUUCCUUUGUUUCUCAAUAUUUUUAUAAGUACAUGAAACACAAGUCACGUAAUAUAUUAUUUCAUAUAUUGUAAUUGAUAAAAACGAACGACAUGAUUAUGUUCUCAUUAUAAGUUAUAGUAAUAGAAAACAAAUCCAUGUGUUAUAAAUUGAUAAUUUAUUUUUUUACCAUAAAAAUAAAAAAUAAAAAAUUUACGUGGCAUAGUACGUUGUAAAUUGCUCGUAAACGAGUUUCUGCCAAAUCAUGUAACCAAUGAGGCUUAGGAAUGUGAUCUCUUCCCACUCAGUCUUUCUCUGUAGCGAUUAAAUUUUUGUUGGAAUGGAUGCUCGAAUGUAUAUAUAGUCAAAAAUCGCUUCGCAAGAUAGAAAUUCAAUGCCUAAAUACACUCUCCACAACAAAAUAUAGUCAUUUAUUUUCGAAGAAAUUGUAACAAUGAUAAUUCAACUUUAACUUAAUUAGAGUAAUGGUUCCUCAACUAAAAAUUCAUAACCAUUGAUCUCUUAAUUCAUCAAAACGUGUAGUUAUGGUCAUUUUUCGUCAACUCCGUUAGAACUAUUGUCAAAAUAACUCACGUGCCACACACGUGAGGCUAAAUCAAAUGACAAAUAUGAAAAACGAAAUGAGAAAAAUUGUAGUAAUGGUUCCUCAACUUUAAUUCAAAUUGGAUUAAUCCCUCAACUUUAAUCCAAUUAGAGUAAUGAUCUCUCAACUCUAACUCAAUUGUAGCAAUGGUCCUUCCAACAUACCUUAUUUUGACAGAAUUCUGACUGAGUUUACGAAAAUUACCAUAACUACAAAUUUUGAUGAGUUAAAGGAAUCAAUAGUCAUAAAUUUUAAUUAAAAGACCAUUACUUCAAUUGAAUUAAAAUUUAAAAAUUAUUGCCACAAUUUUCUCUUUAUUUCCUUGUCUACAUACUAAAACUCGUCACAAUUACUCAAGUCUCAAACUUUCCACAACCCUCUUUGAUGAGAGCAGUUCCACCCUUGUGGAUUGCUCGGGGGACAUGCACCAGGAAAGGGCCUGAGGCCCAGUGGACAACCCUCCAGCCUUGGAGAGCUCGAGUGAGGGUGGGAGCUCGAGCACAAGGGGGGUGGGUAAUUGACAGGCCUGCAGCCCGAGGGCCAGGCAUUUUUUUUAUUUUUUUUGUGUCAGCCCAAGGCCCUGCAGCCCCAUUUCCAUGUUUUUUUUUUCUAUUUUAUAUUAUUUAAACAAACAAAAAAAAAUAUUUUAUUACCUAUUGCCAGGGGGAAGGGUUCCAAGGGUGGAGAUGCAAAAGGUAAUUACUGUUCAUUAAUGACAGUUACUAUUCAUUAAAGGCAGUUACUGUUCAAUAGGGUGGAUUCAAUAGUAAAUUGCCAUGAAGGAGGGCUCCAAGGGUGGAGUUGCUCUGAUAAUAACAAAGAGAAGGCGAUUAGGCCAACAUCACAACACUACUUUGUACAUGACCAUGAGCUGUCUCUUUGAGUGUUAGGUCAAUGUCAUGUUCACACCACUAGUACUCUUUAGAUGCCCAUGUGCUGUUGCCAUGCGGAUCAAUAAUUUUUAGGUCUAUACAUUAGUCACACAAAAAUAACAAUAUUAUUGACGAUUCUUGACGCAAACUAGCCUAACAUAUGGAAAGAGAUUCUCUCCAGAUUCUCUCCAUCAAGAUUACCGGAUCAAGUGAUUCAAAUUUUUAAAAUUUUAUUAAAUGGUCCAUUUGUUUUAAUCUCUUAAAAGUUAUAAUAAUUUUUAGCAGUUUGAUAAAAUUUCAAAGGUUAGAAUCACUAAAUCUAAUGAUCUUGAAUCUUGAUAGAAAAGAUCCGAAAAUGAUCCGUUUCCCUAAACAUAUAAUGGUAGGACUUUUCUAUGGACAAGGAUUGUCUGCUCUCCUAGUUGUGGUGCCCUUCCAUACCCUCCUAUUUUGUGCGGUCACGGUUAAGCCACGUCAAUAUUUUAUAUUUUUAUUGUUUUUUUUCUUAUUAUCUCAUUAAAAAAUUAAUAUAAAAUGUUGAUGUGACUUAAUCGUGACCGCACAAAAUAGGAGAGCAUUGAAGGGCACCACAACUAGGAGGGCAGACAAUCUGCCUCCCUUUUCUAUACUAUUAAUUAACUUGUCAAGAGUAAUAUUGAAACUCAUAGGAAAUAUGUAUUUUGCUUUUUUCAUCCACAUUUGAUUUCUGAUAGAGACAAAUUUCUACCAAAAUUAAUUUUCCAAAAUUAAGCAAAAGCCUUACAUUAUGUUUGAAUGAAAACAAUUUACUUGAAAUUUUAUUAAAAAUAAAAAUUUAUAAAUUUACAUGUACAAAUUUUCUUAUUUAAAUUUUCACAGAUAAAAAAUUAAUAUUUUCGAGUAAAACAAACUUAAAAUAUACUUUCAAGUCUUAAGUUUAAUUUUCAUAUAAAUAUAUGUCAUUUUUUAAUUUUCAUGAAAAAUAAAAAUCACAAAUUUUGUUUCAAAUUUUAUUGUUCUUUUAUGUUAAUCAAAGAAGAAUAUUCACAAAUUCUAAAUAACAAACUUCCAUCAUUAUAAAAUCUCUUAGCAAUUUUAAAUUUUUUCAUCCAAACAUAAUGGUAAGAUUAUCUUUAUACCCAACGAUACAACGUCCAAAAAAAUAAAAAUAAAAACUAAAUUUUCAAAUUAAAUUUACAAAAUAAUUUGACUAUUACUAAUUAAUUUAUUAAAUAAAUAUCAAUUAAUGUACUUAUUUUUAUUAAUGACAUAAUUUAAUUUGUAAAUUUUCUCUCUAAUAUGGGUUGAAAAUUUGGCAUUCUUAUAAAAAUUGGUAGACACUAAUUACAUAUGCGGAAAGCUAUUCCGAGGAAUAAUUAAAUUACAUAACACCCGUAUUAAUUAGGACCUUAUCAAACAAGAGUCCCUCCCUUCACAUACUCGGUGAAGGCCAAAGCAACCAAACCUAACAUAGCCAACCUUCCAUUCCAGAGCUCGGCAUCAGACGUCAUGAGCCCGUUUGAUUUCGACUCCACGCUGACUCCUUUGAAAAGAGGAAUCACGGAUGCGACUGAGAGCAAAACACUAGUGGCAAGGAACAACGAAACUCCACCAUCGGAGAUCUGAGUAAACACAUCCUGGCCCUUGGACAGUUCCACAGCCAGAGCUGAAACAAACCCUACCAUUGCAAGUCUGCCGUUGAUUCUCUCCGGAGCUGGCCCACUGAAUGCAAACACAUCUGAAAACUUAGUGCUAACCUUCUUGGGACGAGGAGGAGAAGGAGUAGGUGUAGGAGGUGGUGGGGGGAUUUUGGAUGCCUCUGGUGUUGUAGAAGACGGUUGCUCCUCCUGACCAUUCUGCAAAUCAAAGAAAAUUAAUCAAAUUAACUACGUACGUGAAUAAAUAGGAUAUUGUACAAUAUAGUAUUUAGAUGUUAAUUGAAGAAUUAAUUAAUAAUUACCUCGGCCAUGGAGCGUACGACCAUGUGGCGGUACCUAUUAGCAGGAACAAGGUGGAUUACUCUCGCUGAUCUGCUCUUUCCAGCUCCAUAAACCACUGAGUUAGCUAGAAGUGAUUGCAUGGAAGCUGAUGCAGCCAUUAUAUGUAAUACUACUAAAAAAACCUAAUCAAAGAUCAACACAGAGGAGAUCGGAAACUUUUGA